UACGAAGGGGGGCUAGCGUUGCUCGGAAUUAUUGGGCGUAAAGAGCUCGUAGGCGGCUUGUCGCGUCGAAUGUGAAAAACCCACGGCUCAACUGUGGGCUUGCAUUCGAUACGGGCAGGCUAGAGUGUGGUAGGGGGAGAUCGGAAUUCCUGGUGUAGCGGUGAAAUGCGCAGAUAUCAGGAGGAACACCGGUGGCGAAGGCGGAUCUCUGGGCCAUUACUGACGCUGAGGAGCGAAAGCGUGGGGAGCGAACAGG
rnacentral:rRNA from 1 species